GACGAACGCUGGCGGCGUGCUUAACACAUGCAAGUCGAACGGAAAGGCCCCUUUGGGGGUACUCGAGUGGCGAACGGGUGAGUAACACGUGAGUAACCUGCCCUUGACUUCGGGAUAACUUCAGGAAACUGGGGCUAAUACCGGAUAGGAAUCCUUGCUGCAUGGUGGGGGUUGGAAAGCUUCGGCGGUUUUGGAUGGACUCGCGGCUUAUCAGCUUGUUGGUGGGGUAGUGGCUUACCAAGGCUUUGACGGGUAGCCGGCCUGAGAGGGCGACCGGCCACAUUGGGACUGAGAUACGGCCCAGACUCCUACGGGGGGCAGCAGUGGGGAAUAUUGCAAAAUGGGCGGAAGCCUGAUGCAGCAACGCCGCGUGCGGGAUGACGGCCUUCGGGUUUUAAACCCCUUUCAGCAGGGGCGAAGCUUGUGGUGGCGGUACCGGCAGAAGAAGCACCGGCUAACUACGU
rnacentral:rRNA from 1 species